rnacentral:lncRNA from 1 species
GUCUCUAUGCCAUCAAAUGGACAAAGUGGCUUCAAAUCACUAGCAGGGAGACUGCUACAAUUUCAGCUGCAAUAUUUGAUGGAUAAAUCCCUUAUCCCAUCUGUUUGCUUAAUUCAGGUUUCUGAAACAUGUUCAGUGAACAGAAAAGGUUCCUGUCCUGCUGUCUGGGGGAGAGUUUUGGCAGCCUGCGCAACCAACCCUAGCCCAGACUACUCCCAGGUGCGGGGUUGA